GGACUUUCCCUUAUUUGCCCAGGACAGAAUGUUUCCUGAACAAACCGAAAGCAGGUGUGCCGCUGUUUACAGCUUUACAGGAAGAGACAGGCUCAGAACAGAUAUCGCAAUUUGAAUCUGGGAAUACAGGAAAAGCGAUGGAAUCAUUUCCAGACUGCUGUCCACAUCGUAGUAUGCCUGUAGAGACUGAUGAGUCUAUGACAUUGUCCUCUCUCAAUCUGGUCUGGCCUGUGUGCCAGCAGUGCCAAACACACACCCUUAAAGACAGAGGAAAAAAUGAUAUAUUCAGCCAAAAGAUGUGUGUUCCUGAUGUAAGUAGAUUGGAUUACCUAGAGGGUUGCCAUGGGUAUACUCCUAAAGAUUUAAGGGGCAGUCACCUCACCAAACUUUCCAUAAGUGAUUCCCAACACAGAGAGAGCCCUGUUGGCUUGCCCAGUCUCUACUUGCCUCAGAGUUCAGGAAGACACCUUCAGAGAGACUGUAGAGCCCACAUUGAAGAUCUGAGCGAAGGUAUUUCAGGCAUCAGACUUGAAAAUUGCUGCAUUUCCCCUGACAUAUAUCCACAGAACCCUGUGAGUGAGGAUGAGGAGAGUCUAGAAAGGCCUAGUCCUCUUCGCUCUGACCUGGGAGAGAAUUCCGGCAGAUAUUCUCCAGCAAAACAGCCAGGAUUUUACGGUAUGGUUAUUAUUAGUAUGAUUAAAAGGGUUGUGAUAUGAGGAUACAAAGUUUAUUUGAUCUUUUGAAAUAAAAAUAGCAGUUACGUUUUAGACCUCAAAAUUUCUCCCUAGCUCCAUAAAUAGCAGAAGAAACCAUGAAGCUAUUAUUAUUAUUUUAUUUUUUUGUCACACUGUGGUAUACACCUCUACAUCAACACAUUAAUGCCUAGUUUACCUUACCCACUUCCGUAGCCCUUCUGCAAGUUGUCUGUGUUGUUACAUUGACAGUCCCACUUAAAUUACAAUAUCCCCCCCAUUUCAUUAGAAAUAAAUCUCAGCAUAUAUUAGGCCUAGAUUAAAUAAUAUAUGUACUGUGCUGAAUAGAUUUCCGUAUUAAAAUAUGCAUUAAACUGAACUGAAAGUACUAAAAUCUUAAUGGUAACUGGAGGUGUAAUACAUGCAGGGGUCUGUUCUGAUUCAAACUGAUUGCAUUAGUAUUAGCCUGUAUAACCUAUGCAACACAUACAUGUAGUGGGGUAUUCUGCAUAAUCGAUUGCACAAUGUUGACUUUCAUCAGUGGUUGGCAUACAGUACAUGCAACCAGUGAGAAUGCAUUUCUGUCAGUGCUCAUCCACACAGCAACACAACAAGUUUCUUUUGAUAAGUCAUUAGUGAUGUACCAAAACUUGGCAGAAAUCAGAAACAUUACUUUUAAGACAUCUGAUAUCAUAAAUUUUGACAUGGGUGAAGUUGCAUGUGCUGUAUGCACAGAAAAAAAUAAACCAGGUGUAAUCUGAGUCAAUGAUGUUAUGGAGCUUGUGUUAAUGAGACACACUGAGUGUAAACCACACAAACAUAAUAAAUAAAUUCUGAGCUAUAUUCGUCCUCAAUAAUGUCUGUUUUGGAGUCUUGAAUUAUGGCUGUGACACACCAAGCCAUCAGUAAGAAUCUGUUAGCAUAGUUUUUGCAGUGUGUUUUUCGACAUCAGCACUAGUUGAUUCUUGUCAGUUGGGUGACUAAACAUGUUGUAUUCUAAAACUUAAGCCUGCAUUACGACGGUCGCUGUGAUUUUGCCAAGAUGUUUUGUUGGUCCUGGAUCAACAUUACUGUUCAAGAAUACAGACACAAUCCCUACCCCAAAACCUAACCCUACCCAUAAUUUAUUUCUAAAAUCAGUGUGAAAUGAUAGCUGAUUAACAAGGGUGUAGAAGCACCUUACCUCGAUCAUAAGCCUAAAACAGAUAUUUUCUGUAAAGUUAUCCCUAAAUUCUGAUUGGUUGAUUGUGUGGUGUUUUCACACUUUAAAAGAACAUACUCCACACAAUGUACAACUCACAUUCUCAACUUUAUUCUUCUUCAUCCCAUUACUAAACAAAAUUCCUCACUAGAGCCCCUAGUGGUGCAGUUCCACAUUAAUGUUUUAUAUUUAGCAAUUAUCAAAUAUUGUAUGCUUCUCAACACAGCAUUUCCCCCGUUACUCAAACAGAAUUACUACUCUUUUAUAAUUGUUACCUUAUUCAAGUCUUUACUCAAACAUCAACUUAUCUCAAAUAAGCAUACUCAAAUGACCUCUUAUGCAUUCAAGCAACAGUUUAUUUCAGUGGAGCAUAAUGAAAGAUUCUAGCACACUUUUUUUCCUUUUAACAUUACACAGAAUAACAUUCAUCAAACAUUUCAGGAUUCAGUGUAUAUUCACAUUAUUAUUAUUAUUUAAAUAGGGCAGUGAUCUGCCUACACCCUUUACAUAUCUUCUUGGUCUGACUUAUUUCUUUCUCUUCAGACAAAUUACUCCAACACAUAGUCUUUAGACCACAAAGGUGGGCAUCUCUAUCAAGCCCCUAUCUGAAGUCAACUCUAAAUUCCAUCUUUUCCCAUCACUUAAGAUGAAAAAUUUGGACCUGUUUGUUGUUUUACUGCCAACGGAUCAGUAAAAUGGGCUUCUCCUUUUUUCACAUGAAAAGGCUCUGUCACUCUCACCUUAUUUCCAACCACAACAUUGAGAAAUGUAGAUCCUCUUUUACGAUCUGUGUAUUGUUUUCUUUUGUUUAAUUGUGUCACACGAGCUCUGACCUGAGCAAAUUAAUCAGGGGUAUCCACAGGCAGAAGAACAUUCAAAUUUGUUCUCAUAGGUCGGCCUCUCAAGACCAGAAAAGAGGGCUCACCCAUUGCAGCAUGGGGUGUUGUUAGCUCUUCAGCAUGGUCAGGACUGCAGAUUUCCAGGGCUAAUGCACCACUUCAGCUGCUUGAAGACACUCUUUAAGCACCCUGUUGAACCAUUUGAUGGCCCCAUUUUCCUGAGUGUGAUAAACACAGGCCUUUAUGUGCUUUAUUCCCUGUGUUUUCACGAAAUCAGCAAAUGCAGACGAAGUGAACUACAUGCAGUGUUGGGCAAGCUACUUGGAAAAUGUAGUGAGCUAAGCUACCAGUUACUCUACAGUAAAUGAAGCUUCACUACACUGAAGCUACCCCCCUGCGAAAUGUAGCAAGCUAAGCUACAUCAACAGUAGCUUGCUACAUCUAAGCUACUUUUAAAAUUAAAUUUUAAUGUUGAACAUGUUUUAUUACAAGUCAAUGCUAUUUCAGUACUUAAAACUGUCAGUCAAACAGAUAGGCAGGUGUAAUUUUUUAGUUUAAUAGUUUUUUGUGUUCCUUAUCAAUUUGGCUACAAAAACAAUCAAAAUACAUGUAAUUAACAAUGUGCGCACAAGUAAGUGUAUGCACCUGUUGCAUGGGCAUGCUUAAUAUACUGUAGGCCUUUGCAGAACAAAAUGCAAGACCUCCAAACAAUUUCAGGCUGGCCCUUAUGAAACAAAAAUAUAUUGCAGUAUAUUGGAAAAUAUCAUGCAAUAUAUUAGGCAUAUAUUCUUAUAUAUAUAUUUAUUUUUUCCAAUAUAUUUCAAUAUAUUGAAAGCGGCAAACAUUUGUAUAUUUUGCAAUAUAAUAUAUAAUAUAUGUGUCAUCAAUAUAUUAUUAAAUGUAUUCAAAUAUAUAAAAUAUUAUAAA